rnacentral:rRNA from 1 species
AUUGAACGCUGGCGGCAUGCUUUACACAUGCAAGUCGAACGGUAACAGGGAGCUUGCUCCGCUGACGAGUGGCGAACGGGUGAGUAAUGCGUCGGAACGUGCCGAGUAGUGGGGGAUAACGCAGCGAAAGUUGUGCUAAUACCGCAUACGUACUGAGGUAGAAAGUGGGGGACCUUCGGGCCUCACGCUAUUCGAGCGGCCGACGUCUGAUUAGCUAGUAGGUGAGGUAAAGGCUCACCUAGGCAACGAUCAGUAGCGGGUCUGAGAGGAUGAUCCGCCACACUGGGACUGAGACACGGCCCAGACACCUACGGGAGGCAGCAGUGGGGAAUUUUGGACAAUGGGCGAAAGCCUGAUCCAGCCAUGCCGCGUGUCUGAAGAAGGCCUUCGGGUUGUAAAGGACUUUUGUCGGGGAGGAAAUCCCCAGCGCUAAUACCGCUGGGGGAUGACAGUACCUGAAGAAUAAGCACCGGCUAACUACGUGCCAGCCGCCGCGGUAA